rnacentral:rRNA from 1 species
AUUGAACGCUGGCGGCAGGCCUAACACAUGCAAGUCGAGCGGAAGCAGGGAGCUUGCUCCCGCAUUCAGCGGCGGACGGGUGAGUAAUGCCUAGGAAUCUGGCAGGUCGCGGGGGAUAACGUGCGGAAACGGGCGCAAAUACCCCAACCGUCCAUAGGGCGAAAGUGGGGGAUCUUCGGAUCUAACGCCUUCAGAUGAGCGUAGGUCGCAUUAGUUAGUUGGUGGGGUAAAGGGAUACCAAGGCGACGAUCCGAAACUGGUCCGAGGGGAUGAUCAGUCACACUGGAACUGAGACACGGUACAGACUCCUACGGGAGGCAGCAGUGGGGAAUAUUGGACGAGGGGCGAAAGGGUGAUACAGCCAUGCCGCGGGGGGGAAGAAGGUCUUCGGAUUGGAAAGCGCUUUAGGUUGGAAGGAAGUGCAGUAAGUUAAUACCUUGCUGUUUUGACGGUACCAACAGAAUAAGCACCGGCUAACUUCGUG